UACGUAGGGUGCGAGCGUUAAUCGGAAUUACUGGGCGUAAAGUGUGCGCAGGCGGCCAUGCAAGUCGAGUGUGAAAGCCCCGGGCUUAACUUGGGAAUUGCGCUCGAAACUACGUGGCUGGAGUGUGGCAGAGGAAGGUGGAAUUCCACGUGUAGCGGUGAAAUGCGUAGAGAUGUGGAGGAACACCAAUGGCGAAGGCAGCCUUCUGGGCCAACACUGACGCUCAUGCACGAAAGCGUGGGGAGCAAGCAGG
rnacentral:rRNA from 1 species